GACGAACGCUGGCGGUAUGCUUAACACAUGCAAGUCGAACGAGAAGUCUUUUAUUGAACCUUCGGGGGAUAUAAGAGACAGACAGUGGCGAACGGGUGAGUAACGCGUGGGCAACCUACCUAUCGGAGCGGGAUAGCCUCGAGAAAUCGGGAGUAAAACCGCAUAACACGGAUAUAUCGCAUGAUGAAUCCGUCAAAACUCCGGUGCCGAUAGAUGGGCCCGCGUCUGAUUAGCUAGUUGGUAAGGUAAGGGCUUACCAAGGCAACGAUCAGUAGCCGGUCUGAGAGGGCGAACGGCCACACUGGAACUGAGACACGGUCCAGACUCCUACGGGAGGCAGCAGUGGGGAAUAUUGCGCAAUGGGGGCAACCCUGACGCAGCAAUACCGCGUGAGUGAAGAAGGUUUUCGGAUCGUAAAGCUCUGUUAUUGGGGAAGAAGCAGUGACGGUACCCAAUGAGGAAGUCCCGGCUAACUACGUGCCAGCAGCCGCGAUAAUACGUAGGGGACGAGCGUUGUCCGGAAUCACUGGGCGUAAAGGGCGCGUAGGCGGUUUUAUAAGUCAGAUGUGAAAGGUACCGGCUCAACCGGUGACGUGCAUUUGAAACUGUAAGACUUGAGUACUGAAGAGGCAAGCGGAAUUCCUAGUGUAGCGGUGAAAUGCGUAGAUAUUAGGAAGAACACCGGUGGCGAAGGCGGCUUGCUGGGCAGAUACUGACGCUGAGGUGCGAAAGCGUGGGGAGCGAACAGG
rnacentral:rRNA from 1 species